AGUAACCUCUUUCUUCUUAUUGAUUACUGGCUGGUUAGUAGGUUGCACAAAACUGCUUUCACCUUCCAUCUUGAUAUACCAUAGAUUGCAACCAUAAUUUAGAAAUUCCAGUUACGAAAAAGCAAAACUAACACUAGAUAAUGACAGGCUUUGUUGAUAUCUUCCGAUUCAGAGAUCAAUUAAUCACAGUACUUUGUAGGAAGAAUUAUCAUAACUGAAACUAGAUAAUCCCAAAAGGUUCAAUGAGCAUGAGUAUAAGCAGUUAAAUUGAAGAAACUAUGGAUUUUCCUCAACAAGUUACUUAGUUAGUGUACAUAACUAGCACUAUGUUAUUGUUCUCAGAUCAACAACAAAUAAUACAUCUUGCAUAUCAACCAACAGGGUAAAUUCUACAUCAAAUCUACGUGUGCAUGCCCUUUUUCCAACCAAAAUUCUUUUUGUGCCUAAGGAAAGUCGCCGAUGGGAGAAGGUCAAUCAACGAGAAAGGAAGAAGAUCAAGAAGAGAGGGAGUGGUAUUCUAACACCUAUGCGCUCCAACGCCUCCGCCGCCACCAGAAGGUGCCCUAGGAGCGCCGCCACUACACUCCCACCCCGUUUCUGGUAGACAGGUGGAAGAGACCGAUCCAUGAAUCCCCCCCCAGGUCUUAUCUGGUCAUGAAGAUGGUUUUUCCUUUUUUCCUUAUCUUGUUCGGCUGAACAACACACAAGUGGGCCGUCCACUGAGAACACUUUCCCCAUAUAAAGAGAUAUAGAUGUUUCUUCUCUGUUCUCUCCCACCUUCGCUCGUUGUCGGUGCUCCCCGAAUCCUCUCUUCAUCGAAAAAAUUAUGUUGCCGUUGUUUCAUAUCCAAUCAAAAGAUGGAACAAGGAUGUACAAAGAAGAGGGAGGAGAAUAAAUUGUAAAUGAAUGGAAAAGAUGCAAGUAGUUGACAUCGACGGAAUUUCACAAUACGAUUGGUGCUUGCUAGCCCUAAGCUACAUGGUUUAGUCAAUAAAGAAAGCAAGAAUGAAGAACACAAGGAGCAAAAAGUUCAUUCCUCGUGGAAGUAGAUA